rnacentral:lncRNA from 1 species
GCACAAGAGAGAGCUGACGCUGCCGAAGGAGGCAGAAAAGCAGCCCCUGCAGUCCUGCGUCGAGGCCGGAGCAGACCAGCACCUUUGACAGCCUGAGGAGCUGAAAACGCUACCUGGUGGGCCCAGGGUGGGCGGACCGGGCGUUUAAAGGUCAAGGUCAAGGUGGGGUUUGGCAAGUGAUGCAUAGCGCUCAAAGGAGACCGAAG